UCUCCUCCUGUUCCUGGUCCUCGUCCCCGCAGCCGGGCGGGAUGGCCUUCUUGGGCCGCGUCAGGGAGCCGGGGCACGCCUGCUCCAUGGCCGCCUUCUCCUCCGCCUCCUUCUCCUCCUUCUUCUUCAGGCCGUACUGCGCAGCAAACAGGAAGUGCCUGAUUAGCAGGUGGGAUCAAGUGAAAGGAUUCUAACAGAGGAAGAUGGCCGCUGUGAACCUACUUGCUAAUUCUGCCUUGGAGACUUUGUAUGUCGCCUCCUGCCGCUCCUCCUCCUUCUUGGCAGCAUCCGGGUCCUUCUUCUCCUCCUCGCCGCCCAGCAUCUUGCCCAUGUCCUUGGUGGCCCCUGCACACACACGUCUCAGUGGGGGCACCGGGAGAAGACUAAGUCCAGGUCUAAGGUCCAGACCAUUUUCCAGCGAGGGCAUCGGAAAUACAACAGUGUAAAGACAAAGAAGGCGUGUGUAUGCGCCCCCUGGUGGCCGGGAGGAGCAUGAGAGCCCAAACAACAGAGCUGGUGGAGGAGGAGACUCACCGCCCAGAGCUUGCUUCAUGACAAAGUCCAUGUUGUGUUCCUCCAGCACGUCUGCUCACAGGAGGACGAGGACGCUGCUUCACCUGCAGCAAGAGAAGGAGGAGUGAGACAGCUUCUUCUUCUUCUUCUUCUCUGCUUUUCAUUUCAUCAUCCCACGUGGUCAUAACGGGACCAAACAUCUCCUUCCUUCCCCGGCAGGAGCCCACACAAGUCGGAUGGAGGAGGAGAGGAACCAGGAGACAAUUACAAUACAAAAAUAAGAAAAAUGAUAACAAUAAUAAUUCAAUAACAGCAAGUUGCACACACAGAGCGAGACAUCUGUGUGUGCACUGCAGGCCAGCAGGACUCGAACAACGGUCCGUCACGUCUUCAGGAUACUUCAGCACUAAGCUGAGUUAUGUGGCGACCGGUUACCAUGGAAACCACACAGCAACAAGACGGAGGCUGAAAUAAGUUGUGGAUGAAUUAUUGAUGAUUUCAUCGUGAGCUGCUGGCGGCGUCGUCGUCUGACCGGAUAAUUUAUUCAUGUGACUGCCAGCUGAUCAGCCAUUGGCCGAGCCUGGAAGAGGAGGUCACAUGACUUCAGCUCACUGAUGCUAACAGUAUUUCUUUCGAGGUUUACUAGCUGGUUGGCUAGUAACCACAACAUCAUUAUUAUUAAAAUACCUUUUCUUUUCUUUUUUAGCAUAUAUGCUAUUUGUUACGAUGCAUAGUAAUAAUGCUAACAGUCUUUUAAGCAUAUUGUAUAUAAUAUAUAUAAUGUAUCUCACAUAUGUAAUGUAAUGUAAAAAACAAUAUAAUGCAUAUACUAUAAUGUAUAGAAUGGACAGAAUAUAACACACAUGUAUAUAUAUAUAUAUAUAUAUAUAUAUAUCAAUCAAUCAAUGUUUAUUUAUAUAGCCCCAAAUCACAAAUGUCUCAAAGGACUGCACAAAUCAUUACGACUACAACAUCCUCGGAAGAACCCACAAAAGGGCAAGGAAAACUCACACCCAGUGGGCAGGGAGAAUUCACAUCCAGUGGGACGCCAGUGACAAUGCUGACUAUGAGAAACCUUGGAGAGGACCUCAGAUGUGGGCAACCCCCCCUCUCUAGGGGACCGAAAGCAAUGGAUGUCGAGCGGGUCUAACAUGAUACUGUGAAAUAUAUAUA